GAUCACCAAAAAAAAGAGAUGGAGGUGGAGUGAGUUGCCAUAGAGAGAAAAGAUAGGAUCAUAAAGAUCGGCAUAGAAGGAAAGGACAGCAUUAAAAGCCUCAUAGGUAGGAUUAGAAAAGGAGGAAGAGAAAGAGAAGAAGAGGUUAGGAGGAAGAAAAUGGAGAAGGUUGGAGGGCACUCAUGGAUGAGCUUAGAGAAGGAGAAAGAUGAUGAGGAGAAGUGGAUGAGGAGAA
rnacentral:lncRNA from 1 species